GCUCUUGUUGGAGUGCGUAGCCCGUCACGUGUGACUCGUGCACGCGUUGGCAUUUUGCAGCACCGCUUUCGUUGGGUGCGGAUGUGUUCUUCAAUACGACAAAACGACAAAACGACAAAAUUUCGUUUCAAAACAAUGUUGCAAAUUCUCAAGAAAACUCAAGAAUACUGAGCUAACACCAUUCCUCCUGGUUGUCAGAACCUUGGUGCGUACAUGACAAGCCGUUUUUACCAUUUUCUGAACUGCUUCGGCCAGCAAAAUAAAGACUGAAUUUGUGAAUCUUUCUCCACAAUGGUCAUGAAGCAUUGGAAGGUUUUGACAGUGGCAUCUUCCCAAAAAAGGGCAACAGCAAGUACACAAUCCCUGACCGAGUGACAUGGGGCCUGAGACAAUUCCUCCGACAACUUGACUUUAUGUGAAGAACGGGAGACAUGUGCCAACCCCAACUCCAUGACAGCUGAGUAGAUGUACACCAUUACACCUGCAGCUAAUGGCAACAACGUCACUGAAGUGACUCACUCUGCUGCUAGCUUGAACCUGUUGGGUUUCUCGUUAUCCAGACUCGAUGAGGCUCGUCUUAAUGGGGCAAAUCCAUGGCAAUGGGAGGAAGGAAAGCCUGUCAGCAAACAGUGUGAAUUGUGCAUGAUCUUCAAGUGCAAACUCCAUCGCUGAUGUUGCUCACUUCAACUGCUGCGUCCAACUUCAACCUGUGUGGUUCUCAUCAAGACUGGAUGGGCAUGUCUUUGGGCAUCCAAAGAAGGGAUGCUAAGACGGCACACAGUGUGAACUGUGCAUCAUCUACAAGUGCAAACUCUAUCGCUGAUGUUGCUCACUUCAACUGCUGCAUCCAACUUUAACCUGUGUGGUUCUCAUCAAGACUGGAUGGGCAUGUCUUUGGGCAUCCAAAGAAGGGAUGCUAAGACAGCACACAGUGUGAACUGUGCAUGAUCUACAUGUGCAAACUCUAUCGCUGAUGUUGCUCACUUCAACUGCUGCGUCCAACUUCAACCUGUGUGGUUCUCAUCAAGACUGGAUGGGCAUGUCUUUGGGCAUCCAAAGAAGGGAUGCUAAGACAGCACACAGUGUGAACUGUGCAUGAUCUACAUGUGCAAACUCCAUCGCUGAUGUUGCUCACUUCAAUUGCUGCAUCCAACUUCAACCUGUGUGGUUCUCAUCAAGACUGGAUGGGCGUGUCUUUGGGCAUCCAAAGAAGGGAUGCUAAGACGGCACACAGUGUGAACUGUGCAUCAUCUACAAGUGCAAACUCUAUCGCUGAUGUUGCUCACUUCAACUGCUGCGUCCAGCUUCAACCUGUGUGGUUCUCAUCAAGACUGGAUGGGCAUGUCUUUGGGCAUCCAAAGAAGGGAUGCUAAGACGGCACACAGUGUGAACUGUGCAUGAUCUACAAGUGCAAACUCCAUCGCUGAUGUUGCUCACUUCAAUUGCUGCAUCCAACUUCAACCUGUGUGGUUCUCAUCAAGACUGGAUGGGCGUGUCUUUGGGCAUCCAUAGAAGGGAUGCUAAGACGGCACACAGCGUGAACUGUACAUGAUCUACAAGUGCAAGCUCCAAGGCUGAUGUUGCUCACUUCAACUGCUGCGUCCAGCUUCAACCUGUGUGGUUCUCAUCAAGACUGGAUGGGCGUCUCUUUGGGCAUCCAAAGAAGGGAUGCUAAGACGGCACACAGCAUGAAUUGUGCACGAUCUACAAGUGCGUACUCUAUCAUUGAUGUCGACUUGAUCCAGUUGAACUCUCAUAAUCAAAGAUAAAUGGACUCAUCUUAUGAAAAAAUCGCAAAUCCAUGGCAAUAGCACACUGUUAAUUACAUUAGUGUUGCCGCUAAGGCUGUAUAAAAUUGAAACUUUGAGCUGUGGAAACGACCCAGAAAGGUUGUGAAACUGUUCUCUUUCUAUUAAUUUUGAGUUCAAAUUAAUUUUGAAUUGGAAUAUUCAAAUUUUUUCCAUCUUGGCAGAUAAUGCUUUUCUGACUUAAUGUUGGAGAUCGUUAUUCUGACUUAAUGUUGGAGAUCGCUAUUCUGCGUCUCCUUGGUCAAUAGUUGAAUUGUUGGGAUGAUGAGCUAGGAGUCCACAAUCUAAAUUAUCAUUCAAUUAUUUUGCCAUGGAUUUGCCAAGAUAUUUCAAUGGAAAAUACUUAAGAGAGAACCAGGUACAUGUCACUGAUAACGAAAGUCAAAUUUAAACUUUUGGAGAGUUUCUUAAAACUCAAAUAAAAUCCCAAAUUUCUUAUUAACUGAAGAUUUUUAACAGUACAUAGCUCUGUACUUCCUUUCCAUAAUCUGGAGGUCAUUGUUGAUCAGACAUGGCAGUACUUUGCGCAGAUGCAAAUUAAACAUUUUAUUUGAUUUCAUCUAUAACAAAACUGUUGUCCUGUUGCCGUUUGCGAGUUAGCCAACCCUAUGGAGUUUUUGUACACAAUGCUUUAUUUGUUUCAGAUUUUGCGCAUUCCGAGUCCAUUCGAAUAUCACGUAAUGGGACAAUAUUACACAAGCUGCGUUGACGCGAUUCUAACGUGACUCUUCCGCGAUAGGUCAAUUCCUUUAAAAAAAGAGCUAACUUUACGCAGGAUACUAAAAAGAAAAGGUUUAAAUACUGACAUGUGCCUGGUUUGUUAUUUUUUGUUGCAAUAAAUUUAUCGCUUAUCAUAUUUGCAAUAUUUCAAACAUUGCAUUUUCUUGAUGUAAAAUACUUAUGUUAUAACAACAUUUAAAUAUAUCAAUAUUUUAUUUAGUAUUUUAUAAAUGUUUGUGUUUACACUAGCACAUCACAUGAAUAUUUCUGCAAUGCAGGCUCGAAAUUGUACAUGUACAUAUUUUUUUGACACUUGAAAAACAAGUUGUCUUUCCUAUAUAUUUGGUAAUUGGCUGUAACGCUUCAACUUUUUUGAAAACGAGAGGCAAACUUACCCUCUGAAAUUUUUGUAUGACGGUUCUGUAUGAAAACAGACGCCAUGAAGAUUAAGACUCCUUUUCCAUUUAUAGGUUAAACACUCGUGCGACUGGUCACAUAAUUAUCUUCACUUAGGCAUGCGCAAUACUACCAAUGAGUCUGUAUUUGAUAGACAUCUAAAUUCACGCUACGACGGCAUAUUGCAUUCAAUACUUCUUCGUAUAUUUUGAAAGAAAAAAAGAUCUUGUGGUUUAUGGAGCAUUAAUGUUUCAUGUGAUGUGCUAGUGUUAGCCGUUUUGUGCCCAUUUCUUCAAAUAAAACGAGUGUUUGGUUUCUUUAGUGGUGUGAUUAUUUUAAUUGUAUCUGCUGUCUACUCUAUAUUUCAAGAGAAAAAAAAUGGAAAAAAAAGAUGGAAAUUUAUUAUGCGCCUAAUUUAAGCCCAAAUUUGAAUGGCCGUUUUAGUUGUGAAAUAACAUGCAUCUUAAC
rnacentral:lncRNA from 1 species